GAUGAACGCUGGCGGCGUGCCUAAUACAUGCAAGUCGAGCGAACAGACGAGGAGCUUGCUCCUCUGACGUUAGCGGCGGACGGGUGAGUAACACGUGGAUAACCUACCUAUAAGACUGGGAUAACUUCGGGAAACCGGAGCUAAUACCGGAUAAUAUAUUGAACCGCAUGGUUCAAUAGUGAAAGACGGUUUUGCUGUCACUUAUAGAUGGAUCCGCGCCGCAUUAGCUAGUUGGUAAGGUAACGGCUUACCAAGGCAACGAUGCGUAGCCGACCUGAGAGGGUGAUCGGCCACACUGGAACUGAGACACGGUCCAGACUCCUACGGGAGGCAGCAGUAGGGAAUCUUCCGCAAUGGGCGAAAGCCUGACGGAGCAACGCCGCGUGAGUGAUUAAGGUCUUCGGAUCGUAAAACUCUGUUAUUAGGGAAGAACAAAUGUGUAAGUAACUAUGCACGUCUUGACGGUACCUAAUCAGAAAGCCACGGCUAACUACGUG
rnacentral:rRNA from 1 species